UGGUUCCGGGUUUGCAUGGGCUCCCUGCUUUCCUGUCUCCCCGCCAUGCACUUGACCACCCAAGAGCACCAUGCUUAAUAAAACGAUGGGCAUUUUGAUUUGGUUUGAUUUGACCUAAUUGGAUUUCUUUGCGCUGGCGGAGCUGUCUUUCUUAUUUUUUUUUUUCUUAACAUAUGGAGGUUUCCUACCAAGGAUCCUUAGUUUUUCCUGUGGGACCCAGGCCUCAGGACCUCGGGUCCAGGGCUACACUGGAAAAUGGGCCUUCCUGCACACGCGCUCCACCAGGCAAGUACAGUUUCACUUGGUGAGUUUCCCUUUUAAACUGCAUGCAGGUAGGGUUUUAGGGUGACUCAUUCACUUUUUCAGGCUUUUGUUGGAGUCAGGGCUGUGCCAAAACUCUGACACAUGGCAGAGGCCAGGCCUCCUGCUGAGAUGGGAUUUGGGUGCUGGAAGACGUUCCCACCCAAUUUCUCAUGUCCCCCAUAUAUUAACGACUGACUUGGUGCUGCUCCGGUGGACACACUUGGACAGGCUCGUGUCAGUGGCAUGCAUUUAACGUGGGUUUCUUGCGAUUCCUAGCUGAUUUCAAAUGCCCUUAUGUAGGCACUUUAAAAACCCUUUUAAAAUUGCAACAAUCUAACUUAAUGCAAAUUACGCUCCAAGCUCACGUUUUUUUCAAGUUUGGUGCUUCCGUUCCUCCCCUUCUGCUGUUCUUUCUCUGUUCAUUGGUGCUCCCUGUUGGUCCCGCCGUGACUUCUGCCUCUUCCCUGCGAGUGUGCAAGUGCAAACACAUUUCCGCGCUGCACAGCCGUUUUGCAAUUCUAAGCUGCUUUCCAAAGUACUCCAGUGUCGCGGUGGCCUGUUUGCGGAGUGGCACUUGCCUGUCAGUUACGGAGACACAGCGGCCGCUUCAUGGGGGAGGCACUUAAACUAUUUCCCUAGUCUCCCCUGCCUUUCCCUGCUGACAAAUCCGUUUUUGUCCUUCCACUCUAAACUCUACGAAAGUGUUUCCUCUUUAUGUUUCUGUUCUCUCUUGCAAUGCCUAGUCAACUGACACAGGUCUAUCCUGUUUCUCUGUUAAAAUAAUGUGGCCACUAUGUUUAUAUAAAUGUGUAACUGUGUUUUUGUAUUGUGAAUUUGAGUGUUGUGUUUAUAUGUACUUCCAGAUUACAACAGCUUUAAAAUAUUUAACUUAUAUGCCAAGUACCAAAUAAUAAUACUUGGUUUUCAAAUGCCUUUACAUACUUGAGAUUAUUGGCAUUUCAAUAAAUAGAGCUUCUAAUACAGACACAUGCCAGCUUCUGCAGCAUCUCCUCCUAGAAAACAAAAGACCUACCAUCUCUAAGCUUCCUCCGGAUUUGCAAAGCACCCACGCAGAAACAAAAAAGAAUCCUUUUACACAGAGAAUUGAUCGGCUUUUCCUGCCAAGCCCGGUUACUCCUGCCGCCUAAGCCAAGACCAACCUACAAAGCGCUCCCAGGACAACACCAAAAGCACCUGUAUCAGCUCUUCUGGGUCAUGGACACCUGCUAACUAAAAUCUGGUUCCAUCUGCUAUUGUGUCCAUGGCUAGCCCCAUUUCAUAAGUCCAAUAAUAACAAAAUUUUUUUCUCCUAGACACCUGCCUUCUUACCUAUCUCAAGAAACAAAUGCCUGGUGUCUCUGGGAUGACAGUGAACAGGAUGCCUUUCCAUCACCCAGCUCUCACCUCCCAACAUCCCCCCAUGCCCGCAGGAAGUAGCCAGACUUGAGUCUAUGCCCUUUUUCCAAAGAGAACCUACCACUUCAACUUCUUGUCACCCCUAUAUCCAAAGAGUCUGGAAUGUUAACUUGGGAGUAUCCGUCCUAGAGUGCCAUGCUUAAUAAAGUGAUGAGCAUUUUUAUUUUGUUUGAUUUGA